rnacentral:tRNA from 1 species
UCCUGGUUCUCAGAUGGUAAAGAAUCUGCCUGCAAUUCAGGAGACCCAGGUUUGAUCCCUGGGCUGGGAA